UACGUAGGGUGCAAGCGUUGUUCGGAGUUACUGGGCGUAAAGGGUGCGUAGGCGGCUUUUUAAGUUUGGUGUGAAAUCUCCCGGCUCAACUGGGAGGGUGCGCCGAAUACUGAGAGGCUAGAGUGUGGGAGAGGAAAGUGGAAUUCCUGGUGUAGCGGUGAAAUGCGUAGAUAUCAGGAGGAACACCGGUGGUGUAAACGGCUUUCUGGACCAUAACUGACGCUGAUGCACGAAAGCGUGGGUAGCAAACAGG
rnacentral:rRNA from 1 species